CCUACGGGAGGCAGCAGUGGGGAAUAUUGCACAAUGGGCGCAAGCCUGAUGCAGCGACGCCGCGUGAGGGAUGACGGCCUUCGGGUUGUAAACCUCUGUUAGCAUCGAAGAAGCGAAAGUGACGGUAGGUGCAGAGAAAGCGCCGGCUAACUACGUGCCAGCAGCCGCGGUAAUACGUAGGGCGCGAGCGUUGUCCGGAAUUAUUGGGCGUAAAGAGCUUGUAGGCGGUUGGUCGCGUCUGCUGUGAAAGGCUGGGGCUUAACCCUGGUUUUGCAGUGGGUACGGGCUAACUAGAGUGCAGUAGGGGAGACUGGAAUUCCUGGUGUAGCGGUGGAAUGCGCAGAUAUCAGGAGGAACACCGAUGGCGAAGGCAGGUCUCUGGGCUGUAACUGACGCUGAGAAGCGAAAGCAUGGGGAGCGAACA
rnacentral:rRNA from 1 species